rnacentral:rRNA from 1 species
UUGCUUGCUUUGCUGACGAGUGGCGGACGGGUGAGUAAUGUCUGGGAAACUGCCUGAUGGAGGGGGAUAACUACUGGAAACGGUAGCUAAUACCGCAUAACGUCGCAAGACCAAAGAGGGGGACCUUCGGGCCUCUUGCCAUCGGAUGUGCCCAGAUGGGAUUAGCUAGUAGGUGGGGUAACGGCUCACCUAGGCGACGAUCCCUAGCUGGUCUGAGAGGAUGACCAGCCACACUGGAACUGAGACACGGUCCAGACUCCUACGGGAGGCAGCAGUGGGGAAUAUUGCACAAUGGGCGCAAGCCUGAUGCAGCCAUGCCGCGUGUAUGAAGAAGGCCUUCGGGUUGUAAAGUACUUUCAGCGGGGAGGAAGGGAGUAAAGUUAAUACCUUUGCUCAUUGACGUUACCCGCAGAAGAAGCACCGGCUAACUCCGUGCCAGCAGCCGCGGUAAUACGGAGGGUGCAAGCGUUAAUCGGAAUUACUGGGCGUAAAGCGCACGCAGGCGGUUUGUUAAGUCAGAUGUGAAAUCCCCGGGCUCAACCUGGGAACUGCAUCUGAUACUGGCAAGCUUGAGUCUCGUAGAGGGGGGUAGAAUUCCAGGUGUAGCGGUGAAAUGCGUAGAGAUCUGGAGGAAUACCGGUGGCGAAGGCGGCCCCCUGGACGAAGACUGACGCUCAGGUGCGAAAGCGUGGGGAGCAACAGGAUUAGAUACCCUGGUAGUCCACGCCGUAAACGAUGUCGACUUGGAGGUUGUGCCCUUGAGGCGUGGCUUCCGGAGCUAACGCGUUAAGUCGACCGCC